rnacentral:rRNA from 1 species
AGUGAACGCUGGCGGUAGGCCUAACACAUGCAAGUCGAACGGCAGCACAGUAAGAGCUUGCUCUUACGGGUGGCGAGUGGCGGACGGGUGAGGAAUACAUCGGAAUCUACUUUUUCGUGGGGGAUAACGUAGGGAAACUUACGCUAAUACCGCAUACGACCUACGGGUGAAAGCAGGGGAUCUUCGGACCUUGCGCGAUUGAAUGAGCCGAUGUCGGAUUAGCUAGUUGGCGGGGUAACGGCCCACCAAGGCGACGAUCCGUAGCUGGUCUGAGAGGAUGAUCAGCCACACUGGAACUGAGACACGGUCCAGACUCCUACGGGAGGCAGCAGUGGGGAAUAUUGGACAAUGGGCGCAAGCCUGAUCCAGCCAUACCGCGGGGGUGAAGAAGGCCUUCGGGUUGUAAAGCCCUUUUGUUGGGAAAGAAAAGCAGCAGGUUAAGACCCCGCUGUUCGGACGGGACCCAAAGAAGAAGCACCGGCUAACUUCGU